UGGGGAAUAUUGCACAAUGGGGGAAACCCUGAUGCAGCGACGCCGCGUGAGCGAAGAAGGUUUUCGAAUCGUAAAGCUCUGUCCUAUGAGAAGAUAAUGACGGUAACCGGAGAAGAAGCCCCGGCUAACUUCGUGCCAGCAGCCGCGGUAAUACGAAGGGGGCUAGCGUUGUUCGGAUUUACUGGGCGUAAAGCGCACGUAGGCGGACUAUUAAGUCAGGGGUGAAAUCCCGGGGCUCAACCCCGGAACUGCCUUUGAUACUGGUAGUCUUGAGUUCGAGAGAGGUGAGUGGAAUUCCGAGUGUAGAGGUGAAAUUCGUAGAUAUUCGGAGGAACACCAGUGGCGAAGGCGGCUCACUGGCUCGAUACUGACGCUGAGGUGCGAAAGCGUGGGGAGCAAACAGG
rnacentral:rRNA from 1 species